rnacentral:lncRNA from 1 species
UGAUGUAUGUCAACAAAUGUUGAUAACAGUUUAAAAAAUAUUGUGCAUGAACUUAUAUGGGUUUUAAAGAUGAGUUGUUUAUCUACCUUCCGGAAGACAUAUAGGAGCUCCCGGAGUUCUUAUGCUUUGUCUAUCCUAAAUGUGGAGUUAUUGCUAGUUGAGUUCUUGGUCAUCAAUGGAAAAGAGGCAAAUCUGAAUAGAGUUUCUGGAAUUCUUGCUCUGCUUUAAUAGUUGUAGUCAUUUUUUCCCUCCUUCAUCUUUAUUCUCAACUUGUGGAUUUCCUCUAGUUUAGUUACGUAAAAAAUCACAAUAGCACAUUAUUCAUUAUAUAAGAUUGCGGUGACUCACCACAUGAUUUUCCUGAUACUACAUAAAAUUGUUGGCCAUCCACAAAGAGUCAUCGUAUCUUAGAUAAUUUAACUUAGUAUUAGUUUUGUCGUUUGAAGGGAAUAUUUGUGUAUAGCCAAAGCUCGAGUUACACUAAGUUAGACAUGUUUAUAUCUCAUAGCGUCAUGUCUCGGUAUUACCUGCUUCUAUGACAUUUUAGCAUCUUCCCAUAUUUGAUUCAUCAUUACCACCGAAUCAAUUGUCCAGUACCACCUCUUG